UACGUAGGGUGCGAGCGUUGUCCGGAAUUAUUGGGCGUAAAGAGCUUGUAGGCGGUUUGUCGCGUCUGCUGUGAAAAUCCGGGGCUCAACCCCGGACUUGCAGUGGGUACGGGCAGACUAGAGUGUGGUAGGGGAGACUGGAAUUCCUGGUGUAGCGGUGAAAUGCGCAGAUAUCAGGAGGAACACCGAUGGCGAAGGCAGGUCUCUGGGCCACUACUGACGCUGAGAAGCGAAAGCAUGGGGAGCGAACAGGAUUAGAUACCCGU
rnacentral:rRNA from 1 species